UCGAGAAUUUUCUCAAUGGGGAAACCCUGAAGGAGCGACGCCGCGUGGAGGAUGAAGGUCUUCGGAUUGUAAACUCCUGUCAUUGGUGAACAAGACUGCCGGUUAACUGCCGGUGGGUUUGAUAGUAGCCGAAGAGGAAGAGACGGCUAACUCUGUGCCAGCAGCCGCGGUAAUACAGAGGUCUCGAGCGUUGUUCGGAUUCAUUGGGCGUAAAGGGUGCGUAGGCGGCGGGGCAAGUCUGAUGUGAAAUCCCGGGGCUCAACCCCGGAACUGCAUUGGAUACUGCCUUGCUAGAGUACUGGAGAGGAAACCUGGAAUUUACGGUGUAGCAGUGAAAUGCGUAGAGAUCGUAAGGAAGACCAGUGGCGAAGGCGAGUUUCUGGACAGUUACUGACGCUGAGGCACGAAGGCCAGGGGAGCAAACGG
rnacentral:rRNA from 1 species